rnacentral:pre_miRNA from 1 species
GUGAUACUCCCUCCGUCCGGAAAUACUUGUCAUUAAAAUGAAUAAAAGGGGAUGUAUCUAGAUGUAUUUUAGUUUGAGAUACAUUUCUUUUUAUCCAUUUUGAUGACAAGUAUUUUCGGAAGGAGGGAGUAUAAG